rnacentral:rRNA from 1 species
UACGGGGGGGGCAAGCGUUGUUCGGAAUUACUGGGCGUAAAGGGCUCGUAGGUGGCCAAAUAAGUCAGACGUGAAAUCCCUCAGCUUAACUGGGGAACUGCGUCUGAUACUGGAUGGCUUGAGUUUGGGAGAGGGACGCGGAAUUCCAGGUGUAGCGGUGAAAUGCGUAGAUAUCAGGAGGAACACCGGUGGCGAAGGCGGGUCUCUGGGCAGUAACUGACGCUGAGGAGCGAAAGCGUGGGGAGCAAACCGG